rnacentral:rRNA from 1 species
GACGACGCUGGCGGCGUGGAUUAGGCAUGCAAGUCGAACGGUAUCAUCCUUCGGGGGUGAGAGAGUGGCGAACUGGUGAGUAACACGUAGGUUAUCUACCCUCAAGACGGGGACAACCCAGGGAAACUUGGGCUAAUACCGGAUGUGAGCAACUUUUAGUUGUUUGAAAGGUGGCGUAAGCUGUCGCUUGGGGAUGAGCCUGCGUCCUAUUAGUUAGUUGGUGAGGUAACGGCUCACCUAGGCAAUGAUAGGUAGGCGGCCUUAACGGGUGGUCGCCCACACUGGGAUUGAGAUACGGCCCAGACUCCUACGGGAGGCAGCAGUCGAGAAUAGUCUACAAUGGUCGGAAGACUGAUAGUGCGACGCCGCGUGAACGAUGAAUCCCUUCGGGGUGUAAAGUUCUUUUAUAUGUGAGCAGUGCUUCUUAUAUUAACAGUAUGGGGAGAGAGAUGUUAGCAUAUGAAUAAGCAACGGCUAACUCCGUG